AUGGAUUUAUGGAGCAGAGAAACAGUAACACACGAUAUUUUUCCUCAUAACGGGGAGAAAAACGGGAGACGUGAAUUUUCUGCACAAAGAAAUGUACAGUUUGCACAAAAUUAUUCUCAUCAGAAAAAAAGAAUGGGGCAGAAAACUCAUUCUAACACACAGAAAAAAUCAAAAUACUCUCCUGCUUCUCCCACAUUUCGGAAUGUGAUCAAAAAUAUGUAUCAUCUGAUCCGAUCGGUCCAUCACCUCAGUAACAUCGACACACGUGUCGAGAAUAAUCAACCUGUCACUUUGAAGAGAUUAACUGAAUUACUGAAGAGCGUGAUAAAACCCUUUGCCCCCACAAUGUCCACAAAAGAAAUGCUGGAGGGCAAUGCAAGGAAUUGGGCAUUCACGACACAGUUGGUGUUACAGCAACACUAUGAGGACAUUAUACAGCACACAUUAGGGAUUUUACGAGGAGAAACACAGAGAACGGACUGGUUACAUGCCUUUGAGAUUGCUGUUAAAUGGGCUAUGCGAAAUUUCGGCAAGAGGAUCUCCCAGAGGGCAAUUCAGCAGGCCGAAACUUUGGUCCUGACCGAAUUGCGCUCUGGGACUCCCUCUGGGUCAAAAGGACCAUCAGCUUCUGGGGCAGAUAACAACAGAACAUUUGCUCAGGUGGUCAGUGGUGUAACUCCAGCCCCAGUCCAGCAGGGGACAGAAAUGAUCAGUACAGAGGUGGUCAGACCUAAAACAGGGGUCACACAUAUCCAGGUACAAACAUCACCCACUUUAAUGUCAGGCUGGUCAGUGGUGUAACUCCAGCCCCAGUCCAGCAGGGGACAGAAAUGAUCAGUACAGAGGUGGUCAGACCUAAAACAGGGGUCACACAUAUCCAGGUACAAACAUCACCCACUUUAAUGUCAGGCUGGUCUCCCAUGAGAAAUGACUGGCUUUUUGGGAGAUGAUUUUUCCACCUUUGAGCCCCCUAUACAGGCCCCCGUACAGUCCCCUCGUGGGAAAAGGAAAGAGAAGAAAAAACACCUGACAGAGCAGAGCCAAAAAAACCAUCAGUCGUUACAGAGCAUUCUGAAAAAAAUCUCCUAGUGGAUUUUGAGGACGAUGAUGAUGAUGAUGAGGAUCAGUUGACUCCUGCACAGGGGAAUAGACUGGAAGAUUUAGAUGAGAUUACAAAUCAUCUGUCACAGGAACUUUUCUCUCCUCUUGCCCCUUCGGAAGCUGACGCCCCGAAGGCCACUGGCCUGCUUUCUUUGUUCCCCAUGGUACCCAGUACAGUGCACACAGUAAAUCCACUAUUGGAUACAACUGAGAGGGCCCAGAUCCUCCAAAGCCCCUCUGUGUCACCAAAUCUUUCAGACUUUGACCUCUCAGUAUAUUCGUUGACAACUCUUCAACCAGAAGCUCCUCAGGAGGUAGAGAGCAGUGAAUCUUCCGAAAAAAUGGAAGAGAAUAUCUCUGAAACAGAUAAAUGCAGAAAAAGCAGAAAAAAAUCAGUAAAUCAGAUAAAUGCAGAAAAAGCAGAAAAAAAUCAGUAAAUCAGAUGAAACCACUGUAGCUGACAAUCAGGGUCAAAGGUCAACACAUAAGCCAUACAUGCACCUAAGCACCAACAAAAAAUUCAAUGAGUGGAAAUUAACACUCAAGGAAAAGCAUGUGAUUAUCGGUGACUCUAAUUUGGGCAGAAUCCCCACUUUUGACAUCCAAGAUUUACAGAUUGACAGCUUUCCAGGUGCUAAAUUACAGCACGCUGCCAACUUGAUAGAAAAAGCUACAGUAGGGACCAAGGUAGAAAAAAUAGUCUUGGCAUUUGGCUUGAAUAACCGCACACAAAGACUACGUAUUUCAGCCAUGAGAGAGUGUGCUAGAGUGAGUCAGGUGACACAAGAAAAAAACUACCGGAUGCCCAAGUGUGGAUCCCCCUGAUAAAUAUUCCUCAAUCUCUCCCAGAAGGAGAAAAAAAUCUUUUUUUAGACGAACUGAACAAUUACAUAGAGGAAAAUUAUUCCUUCAUCCCCCCUUCUGCCAGAGGAGCAGUUUCAGGUGGAAAGAGACGGCCUACACUGGACUGCAGAGACAGCCAGGAACAUGUUAGAGCACUGGACACGAUAUUUAAACUUGUAGUGAGUGAACACCCGAGAAAGGGUGCACACAGGCUUGUUGUGAAUCUUUCUAAGCAUUUUAGUAUCUCUCCCUCACAGUCAUCCCUUCUCAUGAAAGGCCUCACAUUUAUUCCAUCUGUCCAAAAAAUGAAAGAUUUCAAACAUCAGCUCAGAUUAGAUUUACAAAAAAAUAUCAUAGAAGAAUAAAAUUAGAGGUUUUUCUUUGAGGGCAAAAAAAGACUAAAAAAAACAAAGAUUAACUUUUACGCACAACUCGGAUUGGACUCCGGCCUUGAGCAGACUUCCCAAACAAGUAGGCCAGCUGAUCACAGCUGAUGAGUACGCCUUUAAGAAUUUGAAUUGGAACUUGAAACCAAGGCCCAACCUCCAGAGAGAGGAACUGAGAGCCUUGAACACUCUUAAAAACCUCAGGGAAAUUGUUAUUAAACCUGCUGACAAGGGAAAUGCCAUCGUCAUCAUGGACAGAGAGCAGUAUGUCUGGGAGGGGGAGAGACAAUUAAACAUCAGUGACCACUAUAAACCCUUAGAAAAACCCAUUUAUUUGGAAACCAUGAAACAGAUUAGAAAAAUCUUAGAACAGAUGUAUGAUAGGGGUAUUAUCAACUCAAAACAGAGGGAAUAUUUAAGUGGCAGUGGCACUCCUAGAAUGAGAAGAUUUUAUUUAUUACCGAAGAUUCACAAGGAGCCCGAGAAAUGGAGUAUUCCACACGAGAUUCCACCCGGCAGACCCAUAGUGUCUGAUUGUAACAGUGAAACUUAUCAGACAGCUGAGUACAUCGAGUAUUUUUCUCAACCCCAUCUCUCAGAAACACCCGAGCUAUUUGAAGGACACGUAUGAUUUCAUCCAGAAAGUUAAAGACAUCAGUGUUCCCAGUGGA
ensembl:lncRNA